AACUUCAAAAAGUAGUCGCCCGCUCUCUCUCCCUCUCUAAACUUAAAACUACUUUCUCUCUCUCCACAAGGGUUUCUACGCCGUCCAGAGACCCCUGAUUAUACUCUCUCUUAUUAUCUUGAAAGGUAUUUUUCUAAAUUUAGUGAGAGAGAGAGCUCUUGGAAGGGAUUUGAAUUUCCAAGCCAGUGAGUGAGAGAGAGAGAUUGAGUAACUGUGUCAUUUUAGCGUGCACGCAUUGAAUAUUAUCGAAGUUCAGAUCCCUCUCUCAAAUGAAAGCUUGCUUUAGAUCUGACUCGCAUCUUCUUGAGCAAAGAUCCACCUUUUGAAUUGCCUUUCUCCAUAAAGGAAUGGGCAACUUACGAGAGUGAUCUGGUUUCUUCUGGAUUUUUUUGUGGGUAUCGACAGAAGUAGCUUUUCCGCCAGGUUCAUCAUCAUUUUCAUGGCUCCUGAUAACCUGUCACAGGUACAUGUUUCUCAAUUGAGCUGUUACAGCACAAUGCAGUACAUUGUUGGAAAAGCUCGGGAUGCUUACUUCUAAUAAUAGCUCGUGCAUUACGUGAUGUUCUUUUGGUUGAGUUCUUGAUCAAUGACUUAUAUGAAGAAGAAAAUGGCAGCUACCAAGAAGUUGAAGGGAAUUCGUGUACUCCGGACGCAAUCUGCUCAAAAGGAUGUGAGGAAUGAAGACCAGGAGAGUGACAUGGAAAACAUGUUAGACGAUGUAUUUCAUGUACCUGAAAGUUCUGAUGAAUUUGAAAUAUCUGAUUUACUAAAAAAACGAAAGCCUCCUUAUACCUUCAUAAAGCGCAAUGUUUAUUUGAUGAAGAGAAUGAAGAGGCGCUCUGAGGAUGAUGGUAUCUUUUGUUCAUGCCGCCCCUCCCCUGGAUCACUGGGUGUGUGUGGCAUAAAUUGCCAUUGCGGGAUGUUAUUGUCCACUUGCUCAUCAAACUGUAAUUGUGGAAGUGCUUGCAUCAACAAACCGUUUCAACAUAGAAACGUUAAAAAGAUGAAGUUGGUGAAGACAGAGAAAUGUGGGUUUGGGCUGGUAGCAGACGAGGAUUUCAAAAAGGGAGAAUUUGUGAUAGAGUAUGUCGGAGAAGUUAUCGAUGACAAAACUUGCGAGGACAGGCUAUGGAAAAUGAAACAUCGUGGGGAUACCAGUUUCUACUUAUGUGAAAUAAGUCGUGAUAUGGUGAUUGAUGCCACAUACAAGGGAAACAAGUCAAGAUAUAUAAAUCACAGUUGUGAGCCUAACACUGAAAUGCAAAAAUGGAGAAGUGAUGGUGAAACAAGAAUUGGCAUAUUUGCCACUCGCAACAUAAGGAAGGGGGAUGCUGUGACGUAUGAUUACCAGUUUGUACAGUUUGGUAAAGAUCAAGAAUGCCAUUGUGGCACUUCAGGCUGUCGGGGAAAGUUGGGAGUCAAACCCAACAAGCAGAAAUUAUCUUCAGAUGUUGCCAUGAAACUUGUUGCACGUGAGUUGGCUGUGUCAUCAGCUACUCUUAGAGCAUGCCGUCCAAGUGAAAAGACUAUUGGUUCCCCUUGUGGAGGUUCAGUCAGGUUUAGAGAUAGAGUGCAGGAUCCUUCUUAUUGUGGAAAGAAUGAUAUUCCAAAUUGUAUUGGUCAACGUGUAAAAGUUUGGUGGCCCUUGGACCGGAGAUACUAUCAUGGAAAACUAACGUACUUCGAUCCAAAUUCUAGGAAACACACUAUUUUGUACGAUGAUGGAGAUAUUGAACGCAUUGACAUGUCAAAGGAAAGAUGGGAUUUUCUUACUUGGUCGUAGAACUAAAGGUGGUGAUGAUUUGUUUAACCUUCCUCACUCCAUUGUAUUAUUGUACUUUCCUUUUGUAAUCAGGGAAUGGUAAUGACCAAUUUUCUGUACUCUUGUUGUAUUAUUUUUUUGUAACAUCGCUGUAAAAUGAUUGUUAGUGUGAGAUAAGAGCGACAAGUCUCUGAUGGAAAUUCAACUUGGACAUGGGAGGGACCAUCCGUGUCGAAAUGUGGUUCUAAUUUUAGCCUGUUGUAUCAUUUAGAAGAUGUAUUAAAAGCAGAAGCUUUGAAACGAGUCCAAUGGAUUUGGAAAUAUGUAGGAAGAACUUUCGAAUUCAUGGAACAUGAUCUAUCGAAAAGUUCGAUCCAAAAUUAUGUAAGAUGCGGUAACUAAA